AUGUCAUGAUGAGGACACUUCCUGUGUAGGUCUUUGAAUAUUUUCCAAGCAUCAUAUAGUGAUUCUCCAUUCAAUUGAUAGAAAUUAUUGAUCUCUCCUCUUAAACG